UAGACUCGAGGUAGUGUUCUCAUCUUGUGAGGGGUCAAUAUGAGAGAUUAGGGAUAAUCGUGGCUCUGCCGUUGCCAAUGCUGCUUUGCCUGUUCGUUUAUCAGUGCCAUCCCCAUUCCUUUUUUUUGUAGUUCGUGCCACCAUUCCGGGUAUCCAUUGAGCUUAAAGCAGUUUUCACGUGCGUGUUUAGAAUUUCCACAAUAGGAGCACUUUUCAUUCAACCCCAUUCCCUUGAUUUUAUUAAACUCAACUUGCUUUCUAGAGCCCAGAGAUGAACGUCCAAGUUUCAUUCCUUUUGAAACUAGAACUGCUCCUAGAGGAUUGUCGGCAUCUGUGGUCAUCACUGCUUAUCAAAGGGCCUCCCAACGGACAUGUGCAUAAGCUUGCUCAAGUGAGGGAAAUGGUUUCAUCUGUAAAAUACUUGCCCUGAUGUUAUCGAGCCUAUCAUCAAGGCCAUCCAAAAAGGUAUAAACUCGAUCCUCUUGCACCAAUUUAUUGUAAUUGUGGAUGUCUUUGGAGCAAACCAUUGGAUUGGGACAGCGAUAAUUGAUUUCACGCCACAACCGUUGUAAAGCCGUGUAGUAUUUCUCAAUGGAGCUGCCUGUUUGUCUCAACCGUGCCACUCUUCGCCGAAGUUCAUAUACUUGUGAAGUGUCAUUCCCAUCAAAAAAGGUAGUUGCAAUUGCAUCUCAAACUUCAUGUGCAGUGGAGAACCGGAUGAAGUUGCCAAUGAGAGAGUGGUCCAAUGAGUUUAAGAUCCAGCCUUUGACAAUGGCGUUUUCCAUGCGCCACCUACGAAAGGUUGGAUCGGUCAGUGGUGGAGUAGGCAUAUCUCCAUUCAGGUAGCCAAGUUUAUCUUUUCCAGCAAUAUUCAUCUCUAUAACCUAAGACCAUAGGGCGUAGUUGGAACCGUCCAAUUUGAUGCCGAUUUGAGGUGAAGAUUUAGUAGUUGAGGUUGGUGUCUAUGCUUUGUUCAAAGCUUCAGUCAUCUUUGUUGUAAAUUCUAGGAAGAGAGUGUUGGUUUCGGGUGGUAGGUGGCUGGGACUCUCAAAAUCAUUAGUGGCUUCCAUGUGUUUGAAUAAAUGCUCAAGAAAGCACGGCUAGAACAAAACAGAGGCUGCUGGAUUUAGUACCAUGCUCUGAUACCAUGAAGGAUUAUAUUCUUUUCUUCAUUGAUUUACAAUAAUUAUGGUACAGUUAAAAUAGGAGAGAAUUUAAAUCUAUUUUGG
rnacentral:lncRNA from 1 species